rnacentral:tRNA from 2 species
ACUCAAAUAGUUUAAAUUAGAAUAUUAACUUGUGGCGUUGUAGGUGUGUUUUACUUUGAGUA